CACCUGUCAUAUAGAGGAAGAAAAUCCAUUUAGAUGCUGUGAAAGAAGAGUUAACUGACAACACGACUGAAAUUAGAUGCCUCCACCCAUGUGGAACUGAAGAGCAAAGCUGCCAUUACAAGUGUGACUUAUCUGUGCUUGCAGAUCUCUUCCUGCAGCUUCAGUGAAAGUGAAUGCAUGAUAUAUAGAGCUCUGUGCAAACACUACAAUGGUGGCUGCUGUGCACAGGAUGCAUGAUAGAAAAAGAGAAAACUGGAGAUGAGAGGAUACAACCCCUAGUGAUGUGUGUAGUCCUGGGGAUACAACAGCAAGGAAUUACCAUGAAGGGAAUGUCUUUCUUUGAGGCCAAAUAGCCCGUUAAGAAAGUGGGCAAAGCUUAUAUCAUCUUGUUUUUGUGAAGCAAGAAUACAGAAAGAAGGGUGAUAUCACAGACUGAGAACACCUGAUCCUGUCAGAAGUAAAGCAGAAAAACAUCUGAAAGUCACUCACCUGUACUCCAAAGGGCAGCGAGGGAGAAGAGAAUGGAUAAAGCAACACCUGCACCAACAGGUUUCAUGUUUUGUGUGGGUGAUUCAGGACAGCUGCUUGUUACAGCCUUUGUGUCAGGAGGAGAAAAGCCUUUUAUAGAAACACGUGUCCAUAAAUGAUAGGGAUUCUCACUGUUCAAAGGUUUGUUGUAAACUACUGGAGCAAAACAAAGCGAAGGAAAUGCUGCUUUUCA